rnacentral:misc_RNA from 1 species
GAUGAAGAACGCAGCGAAAUGCGAUACGUAAUGUGAAUUGCAGAAUUCAGUGAAUCAUCGAAUCUUUGAACGCACAUUGCGCCCGCCAGUAUUCUGGCGGGCAUGCCUGUUCGAGCGUCAUUACAACCCUCAGGCCCCCGGGCCUGGCGUUGGGGAUCGGCGGAGCCCCCCGUGGGCACACGCCGUCCCCCAAAUGCAGUGGCGGUCCCGCCGCAGCUUCCAUCGCGUAGUAGCUAACACCUCGCGACUGGAGAGCGGCGCGGCCACGCCGUAAAACACCCAACUCUUCUGAAGUUGACCUCGAAUCAGGUAGGAAUACCCGCUGAACUUAAGCAUAUCAAUAAGCGGGA